rnacentral:rRNA from 1 species
UGGGGAAUAUUGCACAAUGGGCGCAAGCCUGAUGCAGCCAUGCCGCGUGUGUGAAGAAGGCCUUCGGGUUGUAAAGCACUUUCAGCGAGGAGGAAGGUGGUGAGCUUAAUACGCUUAUCAAUUGACGUUACUCGCAGAAGAAGCACCGGCUAACUCCGUGCCAGCAGCCGCGGUAAUACGGAGGGUGCAAGCGUUAAUCGGAAUUACUGGACGUAAAGCGCACGCAGGCGGUUUGUUAAGUCAGAUGUGAAAUCCCCGGGCUCAACCUUGGAACUGCAUUUGAAACUGGCAAGCUAGAGUCUCGUAGAGGGGGGUAGAAUUCCAGGUGUAGCGGUGAAAUGCGUAGAGAUCUGGAGGAAUACCGGUGGCGAAGGCGGCCCCCUGGACGAAGACUGACGCUCAGGUGCGAAAGCGUGGGGAGCAAACA